GGCUAAAUACGGAUAUUGUGCUGUAUCUGUGUUUGUGUCUGUGGGUGACAGCAUGAAGACAAUACCUCUGGUUAUGCUGAAUAAAUUCAACAGAUGCUAAAAUUCUGUUAGCUUCAAAAAUUAUUUUAAUUUUUCUUAAAGUCAAGUUAAAAUUGGGUAGCAAACUUGGACAUUAAGAGGUAUCUGAUGGAUACAGACAUUUACAAGAUUGUGGUGAUCCGUAUUACAGUUAGAAGUUGAUGAGAAAGGUUCCUUAAUUUUGAGAACAUAUCUCUCAAGGCUCUUCAGGAAACUCAAAAUGUUCCAAUUUCUAGGAGUAUCCACUAGAACUG
rnacentral:lncRNA from 1 species